rnacentral:rRNA from 1 species
GACGAACGCUGGCGGCGUGCUUAACACAUGCAAGUCGAACGGAAAGGCCCUGCUUUUGUGGGGUGCUCGAGUGGCGAAUGGGUGAGUAACACGUGAGUAACCUGCCCUUGACUUUGGGAUAACUUCAGGAAACUGGGGCUAAUACCGGAUAGGAGCUCCUGCUGCAUGGUGGGGGUUGGAAAGUUUCGGCGGUUGGGGAUGGACUCGCGGCUUAUCAGCUUGUUGGUGGGGUAGUGGCUUACCAAGGCUUUGACGGGUAGCCGGCCUGAGGGGGUGACCGGCCACAUUGGGACUGAGAUACGGCCCAGACUCCUACGGGAGGCAGCAGGGGGGAAUAUUGCACAAUGGGCGGAAGCCUGAUGCAGCAACGCCGCGUGCGGGAUGACGGCCUUCGGGUGGUAAACCGCUUUCGCCUGUGACGAAGCGUGAGUGACGGUAAUGGGUAAAGAAGCACCGGCUAACUACGUG